AAAAUAAUUCCGGUGUUGAAUGACUCGGGGAAAAUUCUUUUGUCGUUUUGAAAAAUCAUCAAAAUGGAUAGAUUGUUACGUUUAAGUGGUGGAAUGCCAGGUUUAGGCCAGGGUGCCCCACCAACAGACGCACCAACAGUUGACACAGCAGAACAAGUCUACAUUUCAUCACUCGCUCUGUUAAAGAUGCUUAAACAUGGCCGAGCCGGUGUGCCUAUGGAAGUGAUGGGACUGAUGUUGGGUGAAUUUGUUGAUGAUUAUACUGUCCGAGUAAUCGACGUGUUUGCUAUGCCUCAAGAGAGCUGUUGCAGUUGUCGUUGACCCGAUCCAGAGUGUCAAAGGAAAGGUUGUCAUUGAUGCUUUCCGCCUCAUUAACCCGAAUAUGAUGGUACUUGGUCAGGAACCGAGACAAACAACGUCAAACCUUGGGCAUCUGCAAAAACCGUCAAUACAGGCACUGAUCCAUGGAUUAAACAGGCAUUAUUAUUCCAUUGCUAUUAAUUACAGAAAGAAUGAACUGGAACAAAAGAUGCUCCUGAAUCUCCAUAAGAAGAGCUGGGUGGAUGGGCUGACUUUGGAUGAUUAUAAUACACAUUGCACUAACAAUGAAAAUACAGUGAAAGAAAUGCUAGAACUUGCUAAGAACUACCACAAGGCAUUAGAAGAGGAGGAAACCAUGACCAAGGAACAGUUAGCUAUAAAAAAUGUUGGGAAAAUGGACCCAAAACGUCAUCUUGAGGAACAUGUGGAUGUACUAAUGACCACAAACAUUGUUCAAUGCCUGGGUGCAAUGCUGCACACUGUUGUUUUCAAGUGAUUCAUUAUGAGCCAUAUAGAUGUACAGCACAAUAUGAACUUUUGAUUCACUGAUUGAAAAUGGGAAAUGUGAGACUUAGAAUUAAUGGUACAUUUUGAUUGUGCUGUAUGUUAUUUCUUGUAACAUCAUAACAUUUUUUCUUGUUGUGAUAUGUACAUUUAAUUUCAUAUUUUCUGAAGUCAUCACAAUUUGGUUGUGUUAUGGCUUUUGUAAUGUAAAAUAAAAAAAAUUUAGAUGUU
rnacentral:misc_RNA from 1 species